UGCGUGGGCCCAAUGGUAAGGCAACGGGUUUUGGUCCCGUUACUCGGAGGUUCGAAUCCUUCCGUCCCAGA
rnacentral:tRNA from 1 species